CCCUUAGAUGUUCUGGGCCGCACGCGCGCUACACUGACGAAGUCAGCGAGCAUCUCCUACGCCGAAAGGUGCGGGGAAUCUUGUGAAACUUUGUCGUGCUGGGGAUUGAUUUUUGAAAUUCUUGAUCAUCAACGAGGAAUUCCUAGUAAGCGCAAGUCAGCAGCUUGCGUUGAUUACGUCCCUGCCCUUUGUACACACCGCCCGUCGCUACUACCGAUUGAAUGGUUUAGUGAGAUUUUUGGACUGGGACUCUCUUGUUCAGCAAUGAACGAGAGGGACUCUGGGAAGCUAUUCUAACUGUAUCAUUUAGAGGAAGUAAAAGUCGUAACA
rnacentral:rRNA from 1 species